rnacentral:misc_RNA from 1 species
CCAAACUUGGUCAUUUAGAGGAAGUAAAAGUCGUAACAAGGUCUCCGUUGGUGAACCAGCGGAGGGAUCAUUACUGAGUUAUCACAACUCCAACCCAUGUGAACCAUACCACUGUUGCCUCGGCGGCUAAGGCCUACCCGGUACCUACCCGGGAGCGGGCCGACCCCGCCGGUGGAUUUUCAGACUCUGUUUUAGUGGCAUCUCUGAGUAUACUGUUAAAAUAAGUCAAAACUUUCAACAACGGAUCUCUUGGUUCUGGCAUCGAUGAAGAACGCAGC